AUGCACACAACAACUUUUCAAAGCUCCAGCGAAAGCAACGUGCCUCCCUCAAUCGUUUCGUCGCGAGCGUGAUAAGAGUGAAAGCGUAGCACAGAUCGCCUGUUGCUGACUUCGUAACGUGAAGUUCAACUUUUUAGUGAUUACGGUGGAACUAUGUCAGCUUUCAGAGUUUAACAUCAUCGCUAUGAAUUGUUUUAGUGUGCGUGCUGUCGAACUCCGAAAUUUCGGUGAACAGUUCAGUGAUUCAAGUGCUGCAGAAAUUCUUCGUGUGGGAUAAUUACUAUCAAUGGCUCGCUGAUUUUCUCGUUCAGCUACUCCCUGAUGGAAAAUGUUGCUAUCUUACGAGCGGUACCUGAUUUCCGCGUGCCUUCUACGGAUUGUUCUUCCAGCUUGCCUUUUGAUAUGUGUGUGCCUGAAACAGAACGCAUUAUGCACUGUUUACCUGCUCAUUCUUCUAGUCAUACCUUUUAUACCGGUCCCCACUCAUGUUUCCAUGAGAAGUAAGUUUUGAACAGAACUAAUACUCGCAUGUUAAAAACCUCGCUAAUUUUUCCUCGAAUGUGAGAAAAAAUCAGGGAAACGGUUUCUGGAUUGAAACCGACAAAAUGAGGGGUAUCGAUAAGGGCCUUUUCGAGCACACCCUAGCUGAAUUUCCUGAACUCAACGAUUUUUUGCUCGUGGAGGUCUAUAUUUCACGGAUUAAGCCAUCAUGAUUUGGUCAUACCCGGUCUCUUUCUGGGUCUAAUACAGUUCAUAACAUGGAUAUGAAGACCGAUUUUGUCAAUAAA
rnacentral:lncRNA from 1 species